rnacentral:rRNA from 1 species
GACGAACGCUGGCGGCGUGCUUAACACAUGCAAGUCGAGCGGUAAGGCCCUUUCGGGGGUACACGAGCGGCGAACGGGUGAGUAACACGUGGGUGACCUGCCCUCAGCUCUGGGAUAAGCCUGGGAAACCGGGUCUAAUACUGGAUAUGACUCCAUGACGCAUGUUGUGGGGUGGAAAGCCUUGUGCGGCUGAGGAUGGGCCCGCGGCCUAUCAGCUUGUUGGUGGGGUGAGGCCUACCAAGGCGACGACGGGUAGCCGGCCUGAGAGGGCGACCGGCCACACUGGGACUGAGACACGGCCCAGACUCCUACGGGAGGGCAGCAGUGGGGAAGUCUUGCGCAAUGGGCGAAAGCCUGACGCAGCGACGCCGCGUGAGGGAUGACGGCCU